rnacentral:rRNA from 1 species
UACGUAGGUGGCAAGCGUUGUCCGGAUUUACUGGGCGUAAAGGGAGCGUAGGCGGAUUUUUAAGUGAGAUGUGAAAUACCCGGGCUCAACUUGGGUGCUGCAUUUCAAACUGGAAGUCUAGAGUGCAGGAGAGGAGAAUGGAAUUCCUAGUGUAGCGGUGAAAUGCGUAGAGAUUAGGAAGAACACCAGUGGCGAAGGCGAUUCUCUGGACUGUAACUGACGCUGAGGCUCGAAAGCGUGGGGAGCAAACAGGAUUAGAUACCCGU